CUUCGGUGAUGACACGAUGACGAGUCAGAAAGGUCAUGCCUUGCUCUUGGUCCUUGUCAGUGCCACGUUCUGUGGUGCUGUACAUGGUUCCUUUGGCAAAAGUGUCCUGCUCAUUGAUUGAUUUAGAGGCAUUUGUCUGAGAAGG
ensembl:snoRNA SNORD15 Small nucleolar RNA SNORD15